AACUAUCUAUCCAUUACAAUUGGAUGAAUAUUAACUUCCUAAAUUGUCAUUCAUCAUUCAAUUAUUUGCACUAAGAUAAGGGUUAACCAGGAAUCAACAAACGUACGAAUUAUUUAUGUCCACUUUUCUCCUUGUUUCCAAUACCACAACGCCACAUGCCUAUUUUUAAAUUUUACCUUCAACUCAAACCAAAAUUCACUGACCUCUAUUGCUCGUUUCAGAAAACUCUCAAACAUUUUUCCUUCCAUCCUUCCUUUCUUUCUUUCUCACACUCGGUGCCCAAAACACCUCUACCUUUCAUCCUCCAUUUCUUCCUCUACAACAAUCAAAGUAUUCAAUGACAUCAUUCAUAUGUUAUUAUUGCAUUCAUUCUACAUUUCAUUCAUUUGAAGCUUUCUUCUACAUUUUAUGGAUUAUUCUC
rnacentral:lncRNA from 1 species